rnacentral:lncRNA from 1 species
AAUGCCAAUACAUGGACUUACAUCCGACUCCAAACAACAACAAAAAAACAAAAAACAGAAUGCCAAUACAUGGACUUAUAUCUGACUCCUAACAAACAAACGCUAACCAGCGAACACCAAAGAAGAAGGUUCUCCGUGCGAACCAUAACAAAGUAACCAAAUAUCCAAAGAUGAACCCCAAGUGAGUGACAACCGUCACAAAUGAACCCCGAAGAUGAUAACCAUCACAAAUGAACCCCAAGUGAG